rnacentral:rRNA from 1 species
AAUGGGCGAAAGCCUGACGCAGCACGCCGCGUGGAGGAUGAAGGCCCUUGGGUUGUAAACUCCUGUCGGCUGGGAAGAAAUCGCACGGUGCUCAUACCACCGUGCGUUGACUGUACCAGCAAAGGAAGCCCCGGCUAACUCUGUGCCAGCAGCCGCGGUAAUACAGAGGGGGCUAGCGUUAUUCGGAAUUAUUGGGCGUAAAGGGCGCGUAGGCGGCCCUGCGUGUCUUCCGUGAAAUCCCUCGGCUCAACUGAGGACGUGCGGAAGAAACUGCAGGGCUCGAGUCCGGGAGAGGGGGGUGGAAUUCCCAGUGUAGCGGUGAAAUGCGUAGAUAUUGGGAGGAACACCGGUGGCGAAGGCGGCCCCCUGGACCGGUACUGACGCUGAGGCGCGAAAGCGUGGGGAGCAAACGGGAUUAGAUACCCCGGUAGUCCACGCCGUAAACGAUGGGCACUUGGUGUCGCGGGUAUCGACCCCUGCGGUGCCGAAGCUAACGCAUUAAGUGCCCCGCCUGGGGAGUA